rnacentral:rRNA from 2 species
UUGAUUUUGGUCGCCAACGAGUGGCGGACGGGUGAGUAACACGUAGGUAACCUGCCCAGAAGCGGGGGACAACAUUUGGAAACAGAUGCUAAUACCGCAUAACAGCGUUGUUCGCAUGAACAACGCUUAAAAGAUGGCUUCUCGCUAUCACUUCUGGAUGGACCUGCGGUGCAUUAGCUUGUUGGUGGGGUAACGGCCUACCAAGGCGAUGAUGCAUAGCCGAGUUGAGAGACUGAUCGGCCACAAUGGGACUGAGACACGGCCCAUACUCCUACGGGAGGCAGCAGUAGGGAAUCUUCCACAAUGGGCGCAAGCCUGAUGGAGCAACACCGCGUGAGUGAAGAAGGGUUUCGGCUCGUAAAGCUCUGUUGUUAAAGAAGAACACGUAUGAGAGUAACUGUUCAUACGUUGACGGUAUUUAACCAGAAAGUCACGGCUAACUACGUGCCAGCAGCCGCGGUAAUACGUAGGUGGCAAGCGUUAUCCGGAUUUAUUGGGCGUAAAGAGAGUGCAGGCGGUUUUCUAAGUCUGAUGUGAAAGCCUUCGGCUUAACCGGAGAAGUGCAUCGGAAACUGGAUAACUUGAGUGCAGAAGAGGGUAGUGGAACUCCAUGUGUAGCGGUGGAAUGCGUAGAUAUAUGGAAGAACACCAGUGGCGAAGGCGGCUACCUGGUCUGCAACUGACGCUGAGACUCGAAAGCAUGGGUAGCGAACAGGAUUAGAUACCCUGGUAGUCCAUGCCGUAAACGAUGAGUGCUAGGUGUUGGAGGGUUUCCGCCCUUCAGUGCCGGAGCUAACGCAUUAAGCACUCCGCCUGGGGAGUACGACCGCAAGGUUGAAACUCAAAGGAAUUGACGGGGGCCCGCACAAGCGGUGGAGCAUGUGGUUUAAUUCGAAGCUACGCGAAGAACCUUACCAGGUCUUGACAUCUUGCGCCAACCCUAGAGAUAGGGCGUUUCCUUCGGGAACGCAAUGACAGGUGGUGCAUGGUCGUCGUCAGCUCGUGUCGUGAGAUGUUGGGUUAAGUCCCGCAACGAGCGCAACCCUUGUUACUAGUUGCCAGCAUUAAGUUGGGCACUCUAGUGAGACUGCCGGUGACAAACCGGAGGAAGGUGGGGACGACGUCAGAUCAUCAUGCCCCUUAUGACCUGGGCUACACACGUGCUACAAUGGACGGUACAACGAGUCGCGAACUCGCGAGGGCAAGCAAAUCUCUUAAAACCGUUCUCAGUUCGGACUGCAGGCUGCAACUCGCCUGCACGAAGUCGGAAUCGCUAGUAAUCGCGGAUCAGCAUGCCGCGGUGAAUACGUUCCCGGGCCUUGUACACACCGCCCGUCACACCAUGAGAGUUUGUAA